UAAUUUUGAAGGGAAAUAAUAAACAUUCGUCAAACUAAGAAAAACUAGAAAGUAAGACGUAUACGAUCGACGAAGGAAUUGGACUAUGUGAUCUCUCGAAAUUGAUAAUUCCUCGUGAAAUUCAAUACGUAUAAGUAAUCGUAGCGCGAAAAAGAAUGAAUGCUGAUUUUAUGAAUGAAAGCAUUGACACGAGAAACGAAAUAUUGUGAAUAGUAGACGAGCGGGUAGCGGCUAGAUUCUCGGAGGUAGCGCCGCUACGCAAUAUAGUUUAUCUAUCAAAGUAUUCAAAAAGAAAACUGUAACAAUUGUUUCUUUUUUUCUUCUUUUCUCUUCUCUCUCUUUCUCUCUCACUCUCUCUCUCUCUCUCUCUCUUUUUCUCUCUCUUGUUUCUUUAACUGUAAUAUUCGUUGAAAGAUAUCUUUUCUCGAUGAACGAUCUUUCAUCAUUCAUAUCGGAGAAAAUUAAAAAAAUAUACGAUAAAGAUAAAUACAUAAUCGGGGAGGUUAGUUCGGUGGCACUUGGUCACUUUGAUACGGGGUUGAAGUGCGAGCUGUGGCUCGUAAACGCAGAGAGGCAGUUAUGUAUGGUGUCGUCGUCGUCGUCGUCGCCGUCGUCGCCGUCGUAGAGAAGUCGUAGCUGGAGCGCCCUUAGUGCAGUGUUCAUAUAUGUACAUAGAAGCAGGCUUCCAACCGGCGAGUCGUGUAUUCAAGAGACGGAUUUUCAAAAAAGAAAGAAGGGAGGAAGGAAAGAGAAAGAGAAAGAGAGAUAGAGAUAGAGAUAGAUAGAGAUAGAUAGAGAUAGAGAGAAAGAGAGAGAGAGAGAGAAAGAAAAAGAGAAAGAUAGAGAUAGAUAGAUAGAUAGAAAGAGAGAGAGAGAGAGAGAGAGAGAGAGAGAGAGAGAGAGAUAGAGUGCGUGAUAAAGGAGGUUCGAAAAACGUGUCUACAGUGUCGACGGGGCUGACACCCCAAGUACAGGAGGUGUGCUAUAUGCAUCAGGAAUAAGGAGUAAAGUGUAUAAGAAGAAGGAGCGAGGAGGUGCAAAGGGGGAGUGGAUAAGCAAGUAUAGAAGGAAGGAGAGGAGGGAGACCGUCGCGACGGACGUCGCUGGACGUCGCGUGGGACCAAAGGAAGAAAAACCGAGGAACGCUUCUUCCCUGUGUCUGAUGAGCUCCUCCGUCGUACCGUUGGUGGUAAGAUGGCUGUGCAGCUGGACGGAGGAGGGAAGGAGGUCUUGAAAACACAAUUCGCCACGCGGGAAGGAACGUACAAGCUGAUGACCUUGUCGGAAUACUCGAGGCCGAACAGGGUCGGCUAUACCAACAGCCAAGGGAGUGCGUCCGUCAGGGUAUCCUUCGUCACAUUGCCAGACUCUUCGAAUCCCUCGGGUACGCAAGAACACGACGACCGAAUGUGUUUUAAUUUCGGAAAGGAGCUCUAUGUCUACGUUUAUCGUGGUGUCAAAAAGGCUGUGGAUUUGAACAAUCCCGUGGAAAAGAAAACGUAUAAAGGAACUAAUCCGACUUGCCACAAUUUUAAUCAAACUACAGCGACGGCAGAUAGUGCACCAUUAUUAGUAGGAUUUUCUACAGGACAAAUACAAUUGAUAGACCCUAUAAAACAAGAAUUCAGUAAAUUGUAUAACGAAGAUAGACUUAUAGACAAAAGUAAGGUAACUUGCAUAAAAUGGGUUCCUGGUUCAAAUAAUCUAUUCUUGGUCUCUCAUAGUUCGGGUCAGCUAUAUCUGUACAAUGAGGAACUUAUUUGCGGAACGACAGCACCUCACUAUCAAUCGUUUAUGUCUGGCGAUGGUUAUGCCGUAUACGUGUGUAAGGCAAAAUCUACCAGGAACCCUCUGUACAGAUGGGUGAUAGGUGCAGAGGGAUGUUGCAUAAAUGAAUUUGCCUUCAGCCCUUGCGGCUCAAAUUUGGCAGUUGUUUCCCAAGAUGGAUUUCUUCGAGUAUUCCAAUAUAAUAAAAUGGAACUUUUAGGAUCAGCAAGAAGUUACUUUGGUGGAUUUUUGUGCGUAUGUUGGUCGCCGGAUGGGAGGUACGUUGUCGUUGGAGGAGAAGACGAUCUUGUAACGAUCUGGAGCUUUCAUGAAAAACGGGUGGUAGCCCGCGGGCAAGGUCAUCAUAGUUGGGUGAGCGUUGUUGCGUUUGAUCCAUAUACCACGUCGUAUGGUGAUCAGGACCCCGACUUUAGCGGAUCGGAUGAUGAAACGAUGCCUCAUAAUAACCAUAAUCAUUUUCAUGAAAAGUCAAAUCGUUUGUCGACAACUUCGCAAGGAGUUCAUUCUAAUAGGAACUCUAGUGGGUCAGAACUGAGAGUGCCAGGUGGUACGUGUUACAGGCUUGGUAGCGUAUCGCAAGAUACCCAAUUGUGUUUGUGGGACAUCACGGAAGAUAUAUUAAGGCAGCCGGUAUGUCCUAAGCAGAGACCUUCCGCCGCAGGUUCUACUACCUUCUCUUCGUCGGGGACACACAAUAGCGGUAACGGUUCAAUGGCUAAUCAUCAUUUGAACAAUUCUAAACUCAAUAAUACAAAUAAUAUAAAUUAUAAGGAAAACGUGAGUGGUAAUAAUGAAAGUAGUAACAAUAGCGCGAGUACCAACGCAGCAGUGUCUACUGUAAAUUCGUUGACACAGAGGCUAGCAGGUCUUGGUUUUGGUGAACGUAAGGGUGAUAAUCACAAGAGGAACUUUAGCCUCACCAUGAGAGGUAGUGGUGCAUCUAAUAGCACGAUCGUGCAAAACAAUAGUGGCGAAAAAACGAGCACCAACUCGAAUGCGAGUAGUAAUAUGAACAGUGUCGUCGGUGCAAGUUUAGUAGGUGCAAAUAAGAAGGUCAGUUCGGUGAUGGACGAUCCAAUGAGAUUAAUAGGAACUGCCUAUUGUCCGAGGUUCGACGAGUGCCCAGUCCUUCAGCCAUUGGUGUGCAAAAAGCUGGCGCACGAGAGAUUGACUGAAUUAGUGUUUAGGAAAGAUUGCUUCGUAACUGCGUGUCAAGAUGGAUACGUAUAUACAUGGGCAAGACCAGGUCACAUGUGACAGUCUUAUAAUUUAAUCGGAAGAUGCUUGCGCUUGUUUCUUAAAGCCGGUGGGGCAUUAAUUUUUUACUUUGAUCGGAAAGAUUAAUGUUCUGUACCAAUGCUUUGGCUGAUGCAACAGAAUCAUGGAUGAGACUUCCCUGAGUUAUCGCAUGCCAGGCAUUGGACAGGUUGGUAAUGCCCUACACGUUGUCAGUCCAGCAGAAGGCGGGGGUACUAUAGUAUAGCCACAGUCUGAUACAAAUGUAGUAUCAAAUCAUCAUGACGAAUACGUCCCGUCGUCUUAUACAUUGCAAUUUCCAGAAUUACAACCACACACUCAUUAUCGUCAUUUGUAUUACGUGUGGCCAAGUGAAAAUUAUUCUAGUAUAGUUCAAUGAUCAUAGAGAAAAACGUUAUAUACGGCUUGAUGCACUUCUCCUCUUCAUUUAAUAUGCUAAAAGUCGUCCAUUAAUUCUCAUUUUCUUUAUCUUACAUAAGACAAAUGAUUAAUAUCAAAUUUAUAUUGAUAAAAACCUUUAUAAGAACAUAUUAAUUGGAAGAAUCAAAUUGUGUAUACAUGUAUAUAUGUAUACAUAUUUCGUGUCUUAUACUGCAGACUUAUUACUUAUUGUGUCAUUCCAACGAUAGAAGUUUAUUUAUCUAUAAGAGUUUCUAUCGAGAGAACUCUUUCAAUAAGAAGAAAGUUCCGUGUCUGUGAGAACGUUUGUACUUUUACCGUUCAUAUAUAUAUAUAUAUACAUAUAUAUAUAUAUAUAUAUACUGCAGUACAGUUUGAAAAUAUAUAUUUAAGGGGAAUAAAAAAAGAAUUGAAUAGAAAAUUAUUGUAAUCAGUCAGAAUAAUGUGUAAAUAAGACAAAACUGAGAAACUACAUUGAAAUAGAAUAUCUUGAUUUAGGUAAUCUUCUUUGUUAAACAUCGGCAUACAAUUUUUUUUUUUUUCCUAUACAUUGAUAUAGACCAUUACAAGAUAAUAUUCUACAUUGAACUUGAAUCUAAUGCCUGCAUUAACUUAAUGUUUUUCUUUGAAACUAAAAUUUAUCGUGAUAAAAUAAAAGAUAAUAACUUUGACGAAUUUGGAUAAUAACUUUGAAAAUUUUCUGAAACAAUACGUGCUACGGAAUUCAAUUUUUGGGAAGGCUCCUUCCAUUUCAAGUUCUAUAAAGAAAAAUGCCUAUUGCAUAGCAACAUACAUACAUGUACAGUUAAUAAAAAGAAAAAAAAAAGAAAAAGGAAAAAAAAAAAAGAAAAAAAAAGAUUAUACAUGAAAAAUAAUUUUGUACCUGAGAGCUAUAAGAUAUACAUAAAUAGAUUGCAUAUAAUAUGAUCAUUCCAAAAACGAACGUUGUUGAGAAUUACGCGUUAUAGAAACAACAUAAUGAAGUUUAUUUCAUCUAUGGCCUUAAUAUUAGAUGGCAGGUAAUACUUUUAUGAAAAAUUAAUUAGAUCAAUAGAGCAUCAUCAAUGCGGUGAUAUCAUUCCGAAUAAACAUUUCGCUUUGCUUUCCUAUUAUCAUUAACGAUUUGAUAUUAAGAUAAUAAUUUAAUACGUUUAUACUCUGUCAUAACGCGUAUUACAAGUGCAUCGAAUUGUUAAAUAACAUCAUUCAUUUUUCAAACAUGUUAUUUUAUAUUGAGCACAUAUCUGUUAUAAUUUAAAUUCCUACGUAGCAUUAUUAUUGAAAGAUACAUUGAAAAUAAAAAGAAUAUAUGAAUUAUUUAAAAGAAAACUAACACGACACAGUAUUACUGUUUUAUUUUUCAUAACUCGGGGAUAGCUUUUAUAAGUGCUACCAUAAUAUAGUUCUCAGGUGCAGAAGUGUACCAAGAUGAGAAGAAAAAUUUUGAAUGCUAGAGACCGAUAGGUGUAUGGCAAAUUUCAAGAAUAAACAGUAUUUCGAACUGAACGUUCUAUAGAGCGAAUGUUAUAUUUAUUAAUUUAAAUAAUAAUAAUAAUAAUAAUAAUAAUAAUAAUAAUAAUAAUAAUAAUAAUAACAAUGAUGAUCGAUAAGUAAUAUAAUAAAUAAUAAUAUUAAUAAUUAAUAAUUACAAACAAACAAAAAAUAUUUAUAGUAACAUAUAGCGAUUAUCCGCAUUGUUAUCAAUGAUUCCUUUUUAUAGCUUGAACGUGACGGCAUAUAAAACAAUAUGUCGACUUUUAUCGUGCGCGGGAUGCAUUUUUUCUAGCGUAUUUACAUUUAAGAAAGACAGGAGAGGAAGUAUCGUUAAUAAUUGCUAAAAAGAAAGAAAUGUGUUAUAAUACUUUUUUCUUUCUUUCUUUCUUUUUUGCGUUUCUGAUUAAAAUAGUACAUAAACCAAUAAGUGUACGCUAUAACGCGUAAAAAAAAAAAAGAAGAAGUGUUAAGCCUCGACUUUUAACAUUAUUUAUUUGCUAAUUGACAAGAGAUUUUAAAUAAUACUGGACCAAACAUGUUUCAUAAUUAAUUUCAGGGACAUGAAACAAACACACAUACACACACACACACAUACACACAAAGGAUUCAAAUGUAUAUCUCGCAUAUAUGAACGGUUACGCGUAUAUUCAAAUUGCAUUCCAUAUCGCAAAAGGAGAAAGAGAGAGAGAAUUAUUUUUUUUCCUCAACUACGCAAUAACAUACAAUAUUCUUUCUCAAAUUUUAAUUCAAAAUAAUUUAUAUUAUUCACGGUACUUUUACGUAUAUUUAUAUGAGAUAUUCGAGCAAAAGAUUUCUUUUCUUUCCUCUUUUUUUCUUUUUCUUUUCUUCCAUGGAAUAUCCAUCCUACGUUUUUCAUAUGUAUGCAGAAAAUAUGUUUAAGCUUUAUGCAUAGUCUCAUUUACAAAUUAUUCGAAAAAAAAAAGAAGGUCAAUUUUUAUGCAAUCCAGAUAUAUAAAUGCAUAGAAAUUCUCGAUGCUCGCGUGUGUAUAGGAAUGAAUGAAUGAAUGAGUGAGAAGAAAUUUACGGAGAGAGAUAGAGAGAGAUAGAGAAAAAAAAACGAAUACUAUACAUUUUUCAUGGAACAAAGCAUAUUUUUAUCUACGGGAUAUAUUUCCAAAACCCAAUAGAUUUGAAUACCUUUUCUUCUACAGUUUAUAUGCACAUGAUUACAUAUAUACAUAUAUAUAUAUAUAUAUAUACAUAUAUAUAUAUAUAUAUAUAUGUGUGUGUGCAAUCAGAUCUAAACUGCGAAGAAAUAAAUUGGUACCCUUCUCGUUAUAGUUUAUGUUUUAUUUUAUUUUAUUUUAUUUUAUUUUAUCUUUUUUUUUUUUUUUUAACGCUAGAAACGAACGCCCUUGAAACAGAAGAAUGCAUACGUGUGCCUGCUGUAUGUACGUGUUUGUGUGUGCGUAUGUGGUACGCGCGAUAAGAGCGUACGAGAAAAACGCGAAUAAGAGGUAUACGAAUUACCUAAAAAGAAAAGGGGAUGAUGGAUAAAAAAAAGAGACAUGCGAGGUAAGGGGGAAAAAAAGAAAAAAGAAAAAAAGAAACAACAACUAUACCAAAAAGGAGAGAUAAAUGAUUGUUAAAAAGUAUUGUGUCGCGCGCAGACCAAAACCAAAUCAUUAAACUUAAGGGUGCAAUCGAUUAGCAAUGACUGAAGAGGAUUAAUCUGAAAUGAGAUUUAAAUGGGGGAGACAUUAGACUGUAUCUGAUUUAGAAAGAAAAUUGCAAUAUAUCUAUCUAUAUAUGUGUGUGUGUGUAUGUAUAUAUAUGUAUGUAUAUAUAUAUAUAUAUAUAUAUAUAUAUAUAUAUAUAUAUAUAUAUAUACCGUUCCUACUUUAAUAAAAAUUAUAGAGCUUUGUUGAUAUAUAUUAUAUAUAUAUAUUUUUUUUUUCAAUCGAUUUGUUCAUUAUUAAAAUCAUUCGUGCGAUUUCAAAACGAUAAGUUUCGACAAAAAAUCCAUACGAUAUAUAUAUAUAUAUAUAUAUAUAUAUAGACAUACAGGGUAUGUCUUUCCAAUGAAAUUUGUACGUUUCAUUGGAGACAUCCUGUAUAUAUAUAAAUAUAUAUAUGUACACACAUACGACAGAACGCCGAUUAAACGAAAAACAGUUUAAUUCUAUAGUAAUGAUACAAUUGAUAAGGGAUAGCUUUUACAUCUAUUUACUUCUCGCAUAUGUGUAUGUGUGUGUGUAUGUAUGUAUGUAUGUGUGUGUGAACGUUAUUACUCUACUUCUUUAUUACAAGUUUCUAUGUUUACUUAUCUCGAUCCAUCAAUCAAUAAUCUGUUUAUCGAAAAUUUUUUAUGUUCCCAUUAUUUAAAAUAAUCGACGUUCUGCCAUAUUACGUAUAUAUACAUAUAUAUAUAUAUAUAUACAUGUAUUUAUAUAUAUAUAUAUAUAUGUAUAUGGAUGCUGUUAUACAAACAAACAUCUUAUAUAUUAAUCAUUUUAGUUCAAUUAUCGAAGACUAAUUGAUCGAUCAAGAUAUAUUUACUUCAAUUGUUUAUAAUUUUUUUUUCUUUGUUUUUUUUUUUUCUUUAUAUAUAUAUAUAUAUAUAUAUAUAAAUAAAUAUCUUUAUAUGUACACUUUUUUUUAUAAUUAAAAUAUCUUCGACAAAUAGAUGCGGCAAUAUUUUAUGAUAAUUUUUAUAUCUACGUACGUAGGACGAUCGGGAUUAAUUUGAGAUUACUAUUCGAUUAUAUAUUCUACUCCCUGAAAACACGGAAGGAAAUGAAGAAGAUAAAAAUAAAAAUAAUAAAUAAAAUUAUAAACAAAAAGCGCGAUUUUAUGCUUUUACGAAAGAUAUUACGAUAGGAAAAUUUCUCGACGCAAUUAUAAAGUUCCGAUCAACAAAUCUAUAAGACACGUCUGGCUGGUUACAUUAUCUAUAUAUCAUAUUAUUAAUAAAUGUGAAUAUUUGAAUUUGGCCAAUUUUUCUAUGUCAUUUUUUCACGCUAAAAGAUUCGAUACGACGAUUAGACAUUGGCAUCAAAUCUGUACUGUUUAGUACUUCUCUCAGCGUGUUUCUCCUUGUUUAUAAAAGUGUACAUUCUUUGUAAGUAUAAAUGAAAAACAUUUCAUUGUUAUCAUA